AAAUUCAGACUUUGGAAUUUACGACGAAUAACGCAAGAACGCAAGACGCAAGAGAAGACGUCAUUAUUAUCGAAGAACAAAGUACAGAGCAGAGGCAGAGAGACCUGGGAGCGGACCAACGAACUAGCACUACGUAACCAGAUACUAGUUGUAGUACCUAUUGACGUCAUCAAAAGAAGGCAAGCCAAGGACCAAUCAAAUUGCAACGCCACGAAAAGCUCGAAGCGCGAGUUUUCACAAAAGCGGAAAUGGUUACAAGAAGUGCGGGAGAGUAAACGGAAAUCGACUGUCUACCAGCAUCGUACGGGCAUUGAAUUCAGAGGACGAGAGGACUUUCUAAUUAUCAUGGAGAGUGAGGAUUCACAAUUAGAUGAUGUAUCAAUUAUGCUUGUGCAACAGAUUCUAGAUCAUGUCAUCAUCAAAAUAAACCAAAAGGAUCAAAGUCAAAAACGUACGCAAAGGGUGUUCGAAAGUAUUUACUUUUGUAAGUGUAUUUCAAUUUUAUUUUCAUCCUCUUAAAACUUGAGGAAUAAAAAAAAAUAAUAAUAAAUAAAAUAGUAAGAUCUGAAAUCCUAUUGAGGGGCCUGGAGGACAAGGGGCAUAGGUGCAGUUUUUGAGAAAUUGAGAUACUGACGAUUUUAAGUAAAACUGGUCUUAAUGCAUAUUCUGUGAAAAAUUCACGUCGAAAUUCCAAUUUUUAAGCAUCAAAAAGACAAUCUAAACUUACUUUUCGCCAAAGGAUCCAUGUAAUUUCGAAACUUCAAACUUGUAUCUCUUGAAAUAGCUAAAACUGCACUUAUGCACCUUGUCCUCUAAGCCCCUCAUUCAGGAAGAAAAUAAGAUAUUAAAAUUCAUCACUGCUGCUUCCCUUCCAGAGGUAAUGAUACCGAUCUUUCAUAAAAGACACAGAGGGAUAAAAUACUUCUUAUGAGAGACUCGUUUGAAAAAUUACUUCUGAGCACACAAGUUUAUUUAAUCUACUGAAGAGGAAAAAGAAGAUCUAUUUGAAAGAGGAAAUAUUUGUGCAUUCGGCGAAAAGUUGGAACAAUGCAGAGAUUAGGAAACAACAUGGAAGCAGUCACCUCACGGCUUGUGCUACACAUUACAGGAAUUUAGUAGGUACCAGAUAUUUUCAUGCCAGGGAUUUUUUUACAAUAUCUUCAAUUUAUAAAAAUGAAGCUAAUCCUAAAACAGUUGAGUUGGAAGGGAACUUCACUAUUUUUUCAUUAUCUUACUUUCAGUUUAAUGAGAUUCAAGAAAAAGUGUUGACGAAGAACCAAACUCACCAAAUUUUUAAAAUUGGUCCCACCUUGUUGAAGGAACUAAAAUGGAUAUUCCCAGACGACAAUAAAGCACUCCUUAUUUAUGAUGCCUUAUGUGGUGCUGAUGGUAAGUGUGAUUUUAUACUUAAAAUUAGUACUUAGUACUUUAGCAAAAGCACGAUCUACCUUGAACCAUGUCCUAGAGCUUCAUAGUGAAAUAUAAUAGGAAUGGCUAGUCUGUUCUCGGAAGCUUCAUACAGGUAAAGGUUCUUGAAUUAUUGGAACUUUUCUCCAAAAAUAAUUUAGUGAAAAUGUUUCCAGCAUUUCCCUUCACUUUCCUACUGACACUUAAAAAACUUAAAACUUUAAUCGAUUUCAAAAAAAGAAAAAAAACUGAGGGCCUAUUACAUUUUCAAACUUGAGCAAAAGCCCGCUAUAGUCAAUUUAAUUUUCCAUGAGAGUUUCCGCAGAUGUGACCGACUCCUGACCACCAGAGGCCAGUUACGAAGAAGUUUUCCUUUCUCAACUUUCUACAAUCUUUCUUUCUACAAGUAGUUUCCAGUUAUACUGCAUUCUAACUAUGCAACAUGCAGUCCUAAAGGGUAAAAUCUACUAACUUAGACGAACAAGACUCUUUGGGUGUCAUGUAUUUUUACUCCAUUCAGAUUGAUUCAAAAGUUUGGUUUCUUUUUCUUUUCAUAGAUGCCUUUAAAGUUAAUUUGAAAAAUACUGAUAGAGCUGUUCGAGGCACUGAGCAAACUUGUGAACGACUAGCAAACGGAAAAAUCAUGGAAAACAGCACCUUGUUAAAUGCCAGUGAGACUCAGUUCGAUGUGAUAAAUGUAUCUGAAGAAACUUUAAACCGUCA
rnacentral:lncRNA from 1 species